rnacentral:rRNA from 1 species
AUUAAAAACCAAUGCCCUUCGGGGCUCUCUGGUGAUUCAUAAUAACUUCUCGAAUCGCACGGCCUUGCGCCGGCGAUGGUUCAUUCAAAUUUCUGCCCUAUCAACUUUCGACGGCUGGGUCUUGGCCAGCCGUGGUGACAACGGGUAACGGAGGGUUAGGGCUCGACCCCGGAGAAGGAGCCUGAGAAACGGCUACUACAUCCAAGGAAGGCAGCAGGCGCGCAAAUUACCCAAUCCCGACACGGGGAGGUAGUGACAAUAAAUACUGAUACAGGGCUCUUUCGGGUCUUGUAAUUGGAAUGAGUACAAUUUAAAUCCCUUAACGAGGAACAAUUGGAGGGCAAGUCUGGUGCCAGCAGCCGCGGUAAUUCCAGCUCCAAUAGCGUAUAUUAAAGUUGUUGAGGUUAAAAGCUCGUAGUUGAACCUUGGGCCUAGCCGGCCGGUCCGCCUCACCGCGUGCACUGGCUCGGCUGGGUCUUUCCUUCUGGAGAACCGCAUGCCCUUCACUGGGUGUGCC